CGGAAGUCUCCACUUGCAAAAUGAGUACCUCUCUUUGAAGGACCAGGUGUAGUCAGACAAAACUGAAAACCUAACUUAGUAGUGUGCACCUGUAACAAUAGCUGAAUGUUGGCCAAUCCCAGCAGCCAUGUUUCAGCCACUCAUAGACUGCUGAAUGUGCAAACUGCAUUCAAAUAAGGCAAACACCGAGUUGUAACUGAUCUCACUGUUUCUGUUCCUCACUUCUGAUUCCUAUGGUGUCAGAAGCAGGAUCUGAAGUGGAGCUUCUAGCGAGCCCCACCAGGAGCGCUGAGUGAAAAUACAAGGCACCUGCAGGACUCACUUGCAUCCAUUGAUCUCUCAGAGUGCCUGGAGAUGGUAGAACCCAAAGAUUGGAUUUUCUGAGAACAUCAGAGAAGGACUGUCCUUGCCAUCCACGCUACAGCAAAACUUUGGAGCCUUGAACCUUGGGUUCAUAACCUCACAACUGAGAAGGGUCCCUCCACACUCCUGGAACUAUACACCCAUUGGAACCCUUAAGAAAGGAAAAUAUUUGGAUCAAGUCUACAGAGAAAUAUCACAAAUGAUUAAAGGACCAAGAAAAAAAAAUCUUGUGAAGUGUUUAAGUGAUUCACAUGAAUCUGAGGUACAGAUGGACUUCAAACUUACGCAGAAUAAGCUAUGAAAAUUGUGUUCAUGGAAUAUUAGAAGGAUCCUUUAACACAGCAGUCCCCACACUUUUUGGCACCAGGAACUGGUUUCAUGGAAGACCAUUUUUCCACUGACCUGGGGGUGGGGGCGAUGGUUUAGGGAUGAUUCAAGUGUAUUACAUUUAUUGUGUACUUUAUUUCUAUUACAUUGUGAUAUAUAAUAAAAUAAUUAUACAACUCACCACAAUGUGGAAUCAGUGACAGCCCUGAGCUUGUUUUCC
rnacentral:lncRNA from 1 species